CCCAGCCCAAAAACCUUUCGUCGGACUCGAAACUACUUUAAGAAGAGUAAUGUACUCCAUCUCCUUUUCCAGACUAGAGUCUUUUGGGAAACCAUUCAAAGCUUAUUUUCUAACUAUCCUUCUGUGACCACUCAAAAGAAACCAAAACUACAUACCGAGGCGGUGAAACUGAUUUCCAUCUAUAUACUAUAAAACUCUGGUCUUUACCUGGACAACAAUAAUUUUUGAAGCAAACGAGCUAACUUAUAAAAUGUACCUAAGACGCAGAACCAAUGACUCCUGGGAGAAUGAAAUUUGGGGAAGUUGUGGCUGUUCCAGUACUCACAAAUGAAGACAAAUAUAUGUGUCCCAGGAUAAUGUUGCAGGAUCCAAUCUGGAUCGGUCACCAGGACCAGAGUUUAAGUCUUCCAAGCUUUUGGACUCGUGCUGGAGCUCAUCUUCAGGAAACUUCUCUCUCACCAGUAUUCAGUUCCAAAUAGUUUAGAUGCUUCACGGAGUGAUGAAAGAAUAUUGUUCCUUCAAUGCUGUCAGUGAAGGAGCUAACACUACUCAUUUCCCAACACGAUUCCUUAACUGAACUCUCUGGAUUAUCAUCACAUAAACUGAAUUGAAGAUAGACUCUCCCAUUAUUUUAAUGAGUAACUUGGAUCUUCCAAGGCUUGCAAUGGAACACAAGUGAUAGUGGGGAAACUCCACAAGAAUCUUAUUGUAACAAAGAUAUACAUUGAUCCAUUCAAAAAUGACCUUGUCAUGAUUCCAAGAAUUAAGCUCAAUUUAUCAGAAGAUGAAGAUACCCCUCUUCAGUGGGCACAGUUUCCAAUACAGUCGUACUUUGCUUUCACAAGGCAAAGACAAACCAUGUAGAUUAUGCUGCUUUAUCUGGAGAAACUGGUGUCCCAGCAUGGUUAACUGCCUGACACUUUAAGUUGAGGAAAUAAUAUUGUUAUCAAAAGCAUCUUUUGUUAAAAGGCAUUUAUAUUUGUCUUGCUACAAAUCUUUCUUUUUUAAUAAAAUGAUGUUUUUUUUCUUUAAUUUUAAAAUCAAAACAAUAACCAUCAA